rnacentral:rRNA from 1 species
UACGGAGGGUGCGAGCGUUGUCCGGAAUCACUGGGCGUAAAGGGCGCGUAGGUGGCGCGGGCAGUCAACGGUGAAAGUUCGGGGCUCAACCCUGAAUCGGCCGUCGAUACUCCCGGGCUUGAGCACUGUAGAGGCAGAUGGAAUUCCGGGUGUAGCGGUGGAAUGCGUAGAGAUCCGGAAGAACACCGGUGGCGAAGGCGGUCUGCUGGGGUCGAACUGGACGCUGAGGAGCGAAAGCGUGGGGAGCGAACAGG